rnacentral:rRNA from 1 species
GACAGAGGAGGCAAGCGUAAUCCGGAAUUAGUGGGCGUAAAGCGUCCGUAGGUGGUUUGACAAGUCUGGGGUUAAAGCCCGGAGCCCAACUCCGGAUCGGCCCUGGAAACUGUCAGACUUGAGUAAGGUAGGGGUUGCGGGAAUUCCCGGUGUAGCGGUGAAAUGCGUAGAUAUAGGGAAGAACACCAGCGGCGAAAGCGCGCAACUGGGCCAUUACUGACACUGAGGGACGAAAGCUAGGGGAGCGAAUGGG